UACGUAGGGUGCGAGCGUUGUCCGGAAUUAUUGGGCGUAAAGAGCUCGUAGGUGGUCUGUCACGUCGGAUGUGAAAACUCGGGGCUCAACCCCGAGCCUGCAUUCGAUACGGGCAGACUAGAGUUCGGUAGGGGAGACUGGAAUUCCUGGUGUAGCGGUGAAAUGCGCAGAUAUCAGGAGGAACACCGAUGGCGAAGGCAGGUCUCUGGGCAUUAACUGACGCUGAGGAGCGAAAGCAUGGGGAGCGAACAGG
rnacentral:rRNA from 1 species